UUGCAACUAAAAUAAACUCUAGUACUACGCCGAUAUCUUUUCUUAUCCCACUAUCUAAUGUACUCAACAAAAUCCAUGUACGUUAGCUAUAUAAAGAGAAAAAAUGUUCUGACGUAUGAUGUUCAUAAAUAACAUAAAUGUGUGUAUAAAUUGUAUUGCGUCUUAUUGUCAAAGACAAAUGGGAAAUAGGUACUCCAUCUCAAAAAUUGCGUGAAGCUAAUCAAUACGUUUUGACUUAAAGGUUCUGCGUCUAAUUAUUCUGAUCUAGUAGAAAUGUACGCAUCUAUUAAAUUAAAGAGGACGCCUGAAUUAGUUGCGUGUCCUGGCACUCAAAUUUACGAGCUUUUAGAUAACAGACUG